UUCAACUUUUUCAACAAUGUAUCACACUCGCACAAUCCCGAAACAAAUUUUGUCCUAAACCAAUAUUAUAAAUGGUAAUAUCCUACUAUAUUAUUUGGGAAGUACAUUUUAAAUAUAACCUUAAUUUUUGUAAGUAAUUACAUAGGUAUGCCAUUAAAAAUAAAAUUUUAAAGAGUAAAUUAAUUUAUCUCUUUAAGGAUUAAAAAGUCAAAUACUAAUUUAAUU
rnacentral:sRNA from 1 species